AAAAUUAGAGUGUUCAAAGCAGGCAGAUCCAAUUUUCUGCCACCGAAUACAUUAGCAUGGGAUAAUGGAAUAGGACCCUGUCCUCCUAUUUUCAGUUGGUUUUGGCAGCGCGAGGACUAGGGUAAUGAUUAAUAGGGAUAGUUGGGGGCAUUAAUAUUUAAUUGUCAGAGGUGAAAUUCUUGGAUUUAUGAAAGAUUAACUUCUGCGAAAGCAUCUGCCAAGGAUGUUUUCAUUAAUCAAGAACGAAAGUUAGGGGAUCGAAGACGAUCAGAUACCGUCGUAGUCUUAACCAUAAACGAUGCCGACCAGCGAUUAGGAGACGUUGAAUACAAAACACCACCAUCGGUGCGGUCGUCCUUGGCGUCGGUUUCGGCCGGCGCGGGGGCGGCUUAGCCCGGUGGCACCGGUGAA
rnacentral:rRNA from 5 species